AGUGAACGCUGGCGGUAGGCCUAACACAUGCAAGUCGAACGGCAGCACAGUAAGAGCUUGCUCUUACGGGUGGCGAGUGGCGGACGGGUGAGGAAUACAUCGGAAUCUACUUUUUCGUGGGGGACAACGUAGGGAAACUUACGCUAAUACCGCAUACGACCUACGGGUGAAAGCAGGGGACCUUCGGACCUUGCGCGAUUGAAUGAGCCGAUGUCGGAUUAGCUAGUUGGCGGGGUAAAGGCCCACCAAGGCGACGAUCCGUAGCUGGUCUGAGAGGAUGAUCAGCCACACUGGAACUGAGACACGGUCCAGACUCCUACGGGAGGCAGCGGUGAGGAAUAUUGGACAAUGGGCGCAGACCUGAUCCAGCCAUACCGCGUGGGUGAAGAAGGCCUUCGGGUUGUAAAGCCCUUUUGUUGGGAAAGAAAAGCAGCAGGUUAAUACCCCGCUGUUCUGACGGUACCCAAAGAAUAAGCACCGGCUAACUUCGUG
rnacentral:rRNA from 1 species